rnacentral:rRNA from 1 species
AAUGAACGCUGGCGGCAGGCCUAACACAUGCAAGUCGAACGAGUGGCGGACGGGUGAGUAACGUCUGGGAAACUGCCAGAUGGAGGGGGAUAACUACUGGAAACGGUAGCUAAUACCGCAUACCAUCGGAUGUGCCCAGAUGGGAUUAGCUAGUAGGUGGGGUAAAGGCUAACCUAGGCGACGAUCCCUAGCUGAUCUGAGAGGGUGACCGGCCACACUGGACCGGAGACACGGUCCAGACUCCUACGGGAGGCAGCAGUGGGGAAUAUUGCACAAGGGGCGAAAGCCUGAUGCAGCAAUGCCGCGUGGUGGAGGAAGGCCUUCGGGUUGUAAAGUACUGUCAGCGGGGAGGCGGUACCCGCAGAGGAAGCAACGGCUAACUCCGUGCCAGCAGCCGCGGUAAUAC